GAUAACCUGCCGUAUGCAGGGGGAUAACAGUUGGAAACAGCUGCUAAUACCGCAUAAGCGCACAGUACCGCAUGGUACGGUGUGAAAAGAUUUAUCGGCAUACGAUGGAUCCGCGUCCGAUUAGCCAGUUGGCGGGGUAACGGCCCACCAAAGCGACGAUCGGUAGCCGGCCUGAGAGGGCGGACGGCCACAUUGGGACUGAGACACGGCCCAAACUCCUACGGGAGGCAGCAGUGGGGAAUAUUGCACAAUGGGGGAAACCCUGAUGCAGCGACGCCGCGUGAGUGAAGAAGUAUCUCGGUAUGUAAAGCUCUAUCAGCAGGGAAGAAAAUGACGGUACCUGACUAAGAAGCCCCGGCUAACUACGUGCCAGCAGCCGCGGUAAUACGUAGGGGGCAAGCGUUAUCCGGAUUUACUGGGUGUAAAGGGAGCGUAGACGGCGCUGCAAGUCCGGAGUGAAAGCCCAUGGCUUAACCAUGGUACUGCUCUGGAAACUGUGGAGCUUGAGUGCGGGAGGGGCAGGCGGAAUUCCUAGUGUAGCGGUGAAAUGCGUAGAUAUUAGGAGGAACACCGGCGGCGAAGGCGGCCUGCUGGACCGUAACUGACGUUGAGGCUCGAAAGCGUGGGGAGCAAACAGGAUUAGAUACCCUGGUAGUCCACGCCGUAAACGAUGAUUACCAGGUGU
rnacentral:rRNA from 1 species